CCAGCUGUGUGGCUAUUGCUGCCGGCCACGUCUUCAGUUCCCAAUUUAAAGCCCCCAGGUGGGUGGGUCUGUCUGGGUCUGGGAAAUCGGAGUAACCUCCCUGGUGGGCUCACCUGGUCUGUCGCAGCUCCGUCUUCUCACAUGCAUCUGGUGGCUUCAGGAUCCUUCUGGUGUGCAAAGCUACUAGAAUAAAUAUGUUCUGUUAAAACGGGCUUCUGUUCUGUCCACAGGUGACUGUGGGCCCCUGCCAAAGCUGAAUUAUGCUAUUCCCCUCUGAUAUGGAUCAGAUAGAGGGCUUCCCUGUUGACACACAAGUUACAUACAAGUGCUGUGAUGAGUUUUUUAAAAUGCCUGGAAAGUCAGACGCUGUAGUGUGCCUUUCAAACUCACAACGGUCAAACGUCAAUGAGUUUUGUGGUUCGAUUACGUGUUCUUCCCCUCCUUACGUUGCCAAUGGAACAUACGAUGGAAGGGGUGUAGAAAACUUUGCUUAAUACUCAACAGUAACUUACAGAUGUGACUGUGGGUUCCAGCUUAUUGGAGCUGCCUCCAUUCAUUGUACAACAAAAGAUAAAACAAGUGGAAUCUGGAGUGGACCUGCUCCUAAAUGCAAAGACACAACUGCACGUGUCCUAUUAAAGGGAAAUGAAACAAGUGGUACUUUCUCAGAUUCUUAUAAUGCAUCCAGUAACAUGGUACCCGAGCAGCAUCUGAAAAAGAAAAUAAAAAGCAGACUGUAUUAUGUAUCACAAUUCCAAAACAAAUAUUUCACCAUCACUUCCUCCCGUUCUUCUUCAUUUCCCAAAGGUGACCUGAGGACACGAGGUAGUUGGAUUACUCCAUCACUGUUCAGAUUUGCUGUACCCCUGUACGUUAAUCAGAACUAUUGUUCUGUCAGAACAAAUGAAAGAUCUAUUUGACGACAGAGUUACAUGGGAAUCUCUGGAGUAUUACCCAGCGCCACGUGCUUUCAAAACUUAAAAUGGUCACAAGUCCCAGGGUUCUGUGGAACGAGAUCUUUGCUAUCCAGGAGAACAAGAGCAUGGCAGAGCUGCUGCUAUAACAGAUUUCCAAUUCGGUGCAAGAGUGGAUUUCACCCUUGAAGAAGGGAGAGGAUCAGGCUGUGGUGAAUGACUGAGAGCUGCUGGCUGACUCUGGAAACUGAGCAUCAAAGGACUCCUGCUAUCCCUAAUGGAAUAGAUGGCAGAAAUGUCGAAAACUUUGCCUGUGCCUCUGCAGCAACAUAGAUGUUAUUGUGCUUUGUCUUUCAUUGAAGAGGAUCCAUUUAUUGUACAAUGAAAAAACCAAAGUACUGUGGAGUUGGCCUGGUCUGAAUGCAAAUGCGACUAGCAUUUAGUAUUUGCCUCUCGUUCUACUGUCAUGCACCGAGAAAAGUAUUAAUUACUAGGCAAGCACCUAAAUG